rnacentral:rRNA from 1 species
GAUGAACGCUGGCGGCGUGCCUAAUACAUGCAAGUCGAGCGAACAGACGAGGAGCUUGCUCCUCUGACGUUAGCGGCGGACGGGUGAGUAACACGUGGAUAACCUACCUAUAAGACUGGGAUAACUUCGGGAAACCGGAGCUAAUACCGGAUAACAUGUUGAACCGCAUGGUUCAACAGUGAAAGACGGUCUUGCUGUCACUUAUAGAUGGAUCCGCGCCGCAUUAGCUAGUUGGUAAGGUAACGGCUUACCAAGGCAACGAUGCGUAGCCGACCUGAGAGGGUGAUCGGCCACACUGGAACUGAGACACGGUCCAGACUCCUACGGGAGGCAGCAGUAGGGAAUCUUCCGCAGUGGGCGAAAGCCUGACGGAGCAACGCCGCGUGAGUGAUGAAGGUCUUCGGAUCGUAAAACUCUGUUAUUAGGGAAGAACAAAUGUGUAAGUAACUAUGCACGUCUUGACGGUACCUAAUCAGAAAGCCACGGCUAACUACGU